rnacentral:rRNA from 1 species
UACGUAGGGGGCAAGCGUUGUCCGGAAUCAUUGGGCGUAAAGCGCGUGUAGGCGGCCCGAAAAGUCUGAUGUGAAAACUUGGGGCUCAACCCCAAGCCUGCAUUGGAUACUGUCGGGCUUGAGUCUGGAAGAGGAGAGUGGAAUUCCCAGUGUAGAGGUGAAAUUCGUAGAUAUUGGGAAGAACACCGGUGGCGAAGGCGGCGACCUGGUCCGAUACUGACGCUGAGGCGCGAAAGCGUGGGGAGCAAACAGG